AUUACCAACGAAAUAAAGACUAAGUGAAUUAAGAUGUUA
rnacentral:guide_RNA from 1 species